rnacentral:rRNA from 1 species
AAUGAACGCUGGCGGCGUGGAUUAGGCAUGCAAGUCGAACGCGAAAGUAACCUUCGGGUUGCGAGUAGAGUGGCGAAAGGGUGAGUAAUGCUUGGACGACCUGCCCACGAGACGGGGACAACAGUUCGAAAGGACUGCUAAUACCCGAUGGUCCGUUCCGGAUACGUCCGGAUCGGUAAAGGUUUUUCGCUCGUGGAGGGGUCCAAGUCCUAUCAGCUUGUUGGUGAGGUAACGGCUCACCAAGGCGAUGACGGGUAGCCGGACUGAGAGGUUGGCCGGCCACAUGGGAACUGAGACACUGUCCUGACUCCUACGGGAGGCUGCAGUCGAGAAUCUUCUGCAAUGGGCGAAAGCCUGACAGAGCGACGCCGCGUGGAGGACGAAGGCCCUCGGGUUGUAAACUCCUGUCACGUGUUAGGAAAGCAUGGCUUCGGCCAUGCCUGACAAAAGCACGAGAGGAAGUCACGGCUAACUUCGUGCCAGCAGCCGCGGUAAGACGAAGGUGGCGAGCGUUAUUCGGAUUUACUGGGCAUAAAGCGCGCGUAGGCGGCUCGAUCAGUCGGGGGUGAAAGCCCGCAGCUCAACUGCGGAACUGCCUCCGAUACUGUCGAGC